rnacentral:rRNA from 1 species
CUAGGGAGCGAAAAUUCCUUGGUCGGUUAAAUACCGACCUGCAUGAAUGGCGUAACGAGAUGGGAGCUGUCUCAAAGAGGGAUCCAGUGAAAUUGUAGUGGAGGUGAAAAUUCCUCCUACCCGCGGCAAGACGGAGAGACCCCGUGGACCUUUACUACAGCUUGACACUGCUAUUUGGAUAAGAAUGUGCAGGAUAGGUGGGAGGCUUUGAGUAUAUGACGCCAGUUGUAUAUGAGCCAUUGUUGAGAUACCACUCUUUCUUAUUUGGGUAGCUAACCAGCUUGAGUUAUCCUCAAGUGGGACAAUGUCUGGUGGGUAGUUUGACUGGGGCGGUCGCCUCCCAAAUAAUAACGGAGGCUUACAAAGGUUGGCUCAGAACGGUUGGAAAUCGUUCGUAGAGUAUAAAGGUAUAAGCCAGCUUAACUGCAAGACAUACAAGUCAAGCAGAGACGAAAGUCGGUCUUAGUGAUCCGGUGUU